GCGGUCAUCGUAUAGUGGCUAUUAUGCUUCCUUGCCAAGGAAGAGACGCGGUUUCGAUUACCGCUGACCGCA
rnacentral:tRNA from 1 species